AAUCUCAGCCCAGUGAAAACGUCAGUGUCGUCGUCCAAUUUGAGCCCUAGGAAAGACAUGUCAACGUUGUCAUCGUCGACGACGACUUUGAGGAGUAAAGUGACGCUCAAGAGCUCCAACGGCGAGACCUUCGAAGUAGAGGAGAGGAUCGCGCUCAGAUCGAGAACAAUCAAACAGCUGCUUGAGGUCAACAUAGAACGAAGACAAUUCCCGUGGACAAUGUCACUGGCAAAGUCCUAUCUGGUUAUUAGCUAUUUAAGCAGCCACACCAACCUGGCAGCACGGCCAAGGAGCUGGAGGACUGGGACGAAGCUUUAAUCAAAGUCAAUGUCUCAAUACUGCUUGAACUCCUACUGGCACAGUGGACGGAUCGAACCGAUCAAGCAGUAGGAAAUCAAAGACAGAUCAAGAGAUCACUUCCCAGUAGGAGCUCGAGCAGUAUUGAGGCAUUGACUUUGAUAAAAGCCUCGUCCCCGUCCUCCAGCACCUUGGCCGUGUUGGGUUGGCAGGCCUGCUCAGAUAGCUAAUCACCAGAGAGAGGACUCUGCCGGUAACAUUGAGCACGGGAGUUUUCUUCGGUUCUGCGUUGACCUCGAGCAACUGUUUGAUCAUUCCCGAUCCGAGCGCGAUCCUCUCCUCUACUUCGAAGGUCUCGCCGUCGGAGCUCUUGACUGUCACUUUCUUCCUCGAAGUCGACGACGACGACGGCGACGACACUGACAUGUCUUUCCUAGGGCUCGAAUUCGACGACCACACUGACAUUUUCACUGGGCUGAGAUUUUUGGGCUUUGUCUGGUCUGAUCUGGACUGGACUCUCUCUGUCUCUCUCUCUAUUUAAAAAAGAUAUUGACUUUGAGCUAUGCCUUGGGUCUUCGGACUAUAUCCUCCGAUUACAUUGGGCUUCUCAUUAAUCUAUAUUAAUUACUAUCUUUCUUCUUCUUUUAUAUUUUUUUCCCUUCUUCUUUUUUUCUUUUCUUUCUUUGUGCUGUUGUUGAUUGAUGAUGAAAACAGCUUACUAAUGCUAUUUUAUCUUAUUAUUUCUUGGCCA